rnacentral:misc_RNA from 1 species
GAUGAAGAACGUAGCGAAAUGCGAUAAGUAAUGUGAAUUGCAGAAUUCAGUGAAUCAUCGAAUCUUUGAACGCACAUUGCGCCGGGUAGUAGUCUGCCGGGCAUGCCUGUUCGAGCGUCAUUUCAACCAUCAAGCCCCAGCGCUUGUGUUGGGGGCCUGCGGCUGCCGCAGCCCCCUAAAAGCAGUGGCGGGCUCGCUAUCACACCGAGUGCAGUAGUUCAUCUUCUCUCCGGUCUUGUGAGGCGGGUUCCGGCCGUGAAACACCCCACUACAUUCAAGGUUGACCUCGGAUCAGGUAGGAAUACCCGCUGAACUUAAGCAUAUCAAUAAGCGGAGGA